rnacentral:lncRNA from 1 species
GUGCUCCCAAAGCCCAGCUUCCAACAUGCAUAGCCAUGCUGCUCAGAUCCUUUCCGGAGCUCCAGCUACGGAAAGUGUCUGCCUGAAAAUCACAGAUCCUGGCUGAGCAACUUCAGGGAGUACUUGGGGGAUCUCAUCAAGAGCUCCGUACCUCCAGCAGCCAUUUUUGCUUUGCUUGUCAUCACAGCACUGAUGGGGACCCUCUGCUGCCUCACUAUUUUUGUAGGUGAAACAUUCCAUUGAAGACUCAAUUGGGCAAGCGUGAUGUUUGGAUUCCAAGAGAGUGGAGAGUGUGCUAUUUGCUUACAAUGAGGAAGUAUCUGUCAGUUCAAAU